rnacentral:ribozyme from 1 species
GGGAAGGACUGAGCUCGAGAAUUCGAUGAUGACAAAAAAGACGGAACAGUAUUGCAUUGAUUCUUAGCUUGUCUUUUCUUCGCGUAAAACUCUUAAAGUUGAAAAAAAAAA